GUCUACGGCCAUACCACCCUGAACGCGCCCGAUCUCGUCUGAUCUCGGAAGCUAAGCAGGGUCGGGCCUGGUUAGUACUUGGAUAGGAGAAGAGGGCCUGAGGCAGCAUGAG
rfam:Mustela putorius furo unplaced genomic scaffold scaffold00133, whole genome shotgun sequence.